CUGAAUAGAAAAUAAAAGCUGGUGGGACCCAAGGUCUCCUAGGGAGACAGUAGGAGCCGGGUGCUGCUCCAAAGUCUGGGGGCCCAUUCUAUGCUCUGUUGGUCUCCUGAAGGGACUCAGUGAAUUCUCGGAGGAGACACCUUGCAACACGUUCCUGUGCCAAUCCUGCAGGAAAUCUAGGGGUUUCUCCCUGGACUUGGUUGGCUUUAACCCCUUCUCCUGGCCUCGUGUAUGCCCCAUUUCAGGAGGGAGGACAGCUUCAGUAAAUGCACUAGGAUCCAGAGAGGUCCUGAAAAGGUUGCAUCAGCCCUUUAGCCAUUACCUGCCUCUUGAUGAAGCGUCAGAGCAGGUGUGCAUACACCUGCCAGCACAGAAAAACCUUAACGUAAAGUUG
rnacentral:sRNA from 1 species